rnacentral:rRNA from 1 species
UGGGGAAUAUUGCACAAUGGGCGCAAGCCUGAUGCAGCCAUGCCGCGUGUAUGAAGAAGGCCUUCGGGUUGUAAAGUACUUUCAGCGGGGAGGAAGGGAGUAAAGUUAAUACCUUGGCUCAUUGACGUUACCCGCAGAAGAAGCACCGGCUAACUCCGUGCCAGCAGCCGCGGUAAUACGGAGGGUGCAAGCGUUAAUCGGAAUUACUGGGCGUAAAGCGCACGCAGGCGGUUGAUUGAGUCAGAGGUGAAAUCCCCGGGCUUAACCCGGGGAUUUCAUUUAGUACUGGUCAGCUAGAGUUUUUUAGCGGGGGGUAGGAUUCCAUGGGUUGCGGUGCAAUGCCCUGAGAUGUGGAGGUAUUCCUGGGGCCAAGGCGGGCCCCUGGACAAAGACUGACGCUCAGGUGCGAAAGCGUGGGGAGCAAACAGG